rnacentral:rRNA from 1 species
GUUCGCCGGAAGACCAAGGGUUCCUGUCCAACGUUAAUCGGGGCAGGGUGAGUCGGCCCCUAAGGCGAGGCUGAAAAGCGUAGUCGAUGGGAAACGGGUUAAUAUUCCCGUACUUGGUAAAGCUGCGAUGUGGGGACGGAGAAGGUUAGGUAAGCGGACUGUUGGAUAUGUUCGUUUAAGCAGGUAGUUGGAAAGGGUAGGCAAAUCCGCUCUUUCAUACAACAACGAGACGUGAUGACGAGGCUCUACGGAGCUGAAGUUACCGAUACCCAGCUUCCAGGAAAAGCCACUAAGCGAAAGGCUUUACUAAACCGUACUGAAAACCGACACAGGUGGUCAGGUAGAGAAUACUCAGGCGCUUGAGAGAACUCGGGUGAAGGAACUAGGCAAAAUAGCACCGUAACUUCGGGAGAAGGUGCGCUUACAGUAAUUGUAGUCCCUUGCGGAUGAAGGUGAAGUAAGUCGAAGAUACCAGCUGGCUGCAACUGUUUAUUAAAAACACAGCACUCUGCAAACACGAAAGUGGACGUAUAGGGUGUGAUGCCUGCCCGGUGCUGGAAGGUUAAUUGAUGGUGUUAUCGAAAGAGAAGCUCCUGAUCGAAGCCCCAGUAAACGGCGGCCGUAACUAUAACGGUCCUAAGGUAGCGAAAUUCCUUGUCGGGUAAGUUCCGACCUGCACGAAUGGCAUAAUGAUGGCCAGGCUGUCUCCACCCGAGACUCAGUGAAAUUGAAAUCGCCGUGAAGAUGCGGUGUACCCGCGGCUAGACGGAAAGACCCCGUGAACCUUUACUAUAGCUUGACACUGAACAUUGAAUUUUGAUGUGUAGGAUAGGUGGGAGCCUUUGAAGCAGUGACGCCAGUCAUUGUGGAGGCGACCUUGAAAUACCACCCUUUAACGUUUGAUGUUCUAACGAAGUGCCUGAAACGGGUACUCGGACAGUGUCUGGUGGGUAGUUUGACUGGGGCGGUCUCCUCCCAAAGCGUAACGGAGGAGCACGAAGGUUUGCUAAUGACGGUCGGACAUCGUCAGGUUAGUGCAAUGGUAUAAGCAAGCUUAACUGCGAGACGGACAAGUCGAGCAGGUGCGAAAGCAGGUCAUAGUGAUCCGGUGGUUCUGAAUGGAAGGGCCAUCGCUCAACGGAUAAAAGGUACUCCGGGGAUAACAGGCUGAUACCGCCCAAGAGUUCAUAUCGACGGCGGUGUUUGGCACCUCGAUGUCGGCUCAUCACAUCCUGGGGCUGAAGUAGGUCCCAAGGGUAUGGCUGUUCGCCAUUUAAAGUGGUACGCGAGCUGGGUUUAGAACGUCGUGAGACAGUUCGGUCCCUAUCUGCCGUGGGCGUUGGAUGAUUGAUUGGGGCUGCUCCUAGUACGAGAGGACCGGAGUGGACGCAUCACUGGUGUUCCAGUUGUCUCGCCAGAGGCAUUGCUGGGUAGCUAAAUGCGGAAGAGAUAAGUGCUGAAAGCAUCUAAGCACGAAACUUGCCAAGAGAUGAGUCAUCCCUGACUUUAAGUCAGUAAGGGUUGUUGUAGACUACGACGUAGAUAGGUUGGGUGUGUAAGUGUAGUGAUACAUUGAGCUAACCAAUACUAAUUGCCCGAGAGGCUUAACCAU